AAGAAUUGAUCUUGGGUGAACCAUAAGCUGCUGGACCAUGGUUAGAAAAGUGUUAGAUUGAUCAGACGGCAGUUUUGGAAGAAUCACAUUUUUGAAGCACGACGGUUUAGAAGCUCGACGUUUUUGAAGAUUGACGUUUCUUCAUCGCGAAGUUUUCUCAGAAUAUCUUCGUAUCAGUAAAAUAUUAUUCUGAAGACAUUAUAAGUCGGAAGCAGGACGGGAAUUAAGCAGGACGGGAAGCAAGCACGACGGGAUUGAAGCACGAGGUGCCGCGAAACCUGCGAUCGGAGCAUGCUGAGCGACAUGUGUGCGCUGAGUGUCAAUCUGGAUGAGGUCAGGCCGUGGAUCAGACAUCUGGAGGGCAUGGUGUCACUCUGCAUGAUGUCCUGGUCAUGCCAUCAGACAUGUGGAGCACGAGGUGCCGCGACGCAUGCGUCCGGAGCCAUGCGAGGCGACACACGGGCUGCCACACGGCUUGUUU
rnacentral:lncRNA from 1 species